rnacentral:rRNA from 1 species
GACGAACGCUGGCGGCGUGCUUAACACAUGCAAGUCGAACGGAAAGGCCCUGCUUUUGUGGGGUGCUCGAGUGGCGAUCGGGUGUGUAACACGUGAGUAACCUGCCCUUGACUUUGGGAUGACUUCAGGAAACUGGGGCUAAUACCGGAUAGGAGCUCCUACUGCAUGGUGGGGGUUGGAAAGUUUCGGCGGUUGGGGAUGGACUCGCGGCUUAUCAGCUUGUUGGUGGGGUAGUGGCUUACCAAGGCUUUGACGGGUAGCCGGCCUGAGAGGGUGACCGGCCACAUUGGGACUGAGAUACGGCCCAGACUCCUACGGGAGGCAGCAGUGGGGAAUAUUGCACAAUGGGCGGAAGCCUGAUGCAGCAACGCCGCGUGCGGGAUGACGGCCUUCGGGUUGUAAACCGCUUUCGCCUGUGACGAAGCGUGAGUGACGGUAAUGGGUAAAGAAGCACCGGCUAACUACGUG